AACGAACGCUGGCGGCGUGGAUAAGACAUGCAAGUCGGACGCUGAUUGCCGGGUAGCAAUAUUCGGCGGUCGGAGUGGCGAAAGGGUGCGUAACACGUGGGCAAUCUGCCGUGAAGUCGGGGAUAACUUGCUGAAAGGCGAGCUAAUACCGGAUGUGGUUUUGGGAGGGCAUCUUUCUGGAACCAAAGUUGGGGACCGCAAGGCCUGACGCUUCAUGAUGAGCCCGCGGCCUAUCAGCUAGUUGGUGAGGUAAUGGCUCACCAAGGCAAAGACGGGUAGCUGGUCUGAGAGGACGACCAGCCACACUGGAACUGAGACACGGUCCAGACACCUACGGGUGGCAGCAGUCGAGAAUUUUUCACAAUGGGCGAAAGCCUGAUGGAGCGACGCCGCGUGGGGGAUGAAUGGCUUCGGCCCGUAAACCCCUGUCAUUUGCGAACAAACCUUUCCACCCAACACGUGGAGAGCUGAUUGUAGCGAAAGAGGAAGGGACGGCUAACUC
rnacentral:rRNA from 1 species